GUUAUUAUAUAUACAUAAACAAUAUAAGAACAUAUUAUAAUAAAGGAUAGAAAGAUAUUAUAAUUUUUCGCGGCCCUAUAUAAGCCACUAGGACGGUUUGUUUCGGUUUUUGUAUCAAUCCCACUACGACGGCGACAACGAUGACGACAGUAGAUGCGCUAUGGACGCAGUUGACGACGAUCAAAGUUGCAAAUGAAAGUUAUUCUUUUGAGUCCACCGCAGGCGGAUAGACGGUAGAUGAAAAGGGAAUGCGAAAAAAAAAAUAGAUGCAAGGGGUUGGGUCGAACCGAGUGACAAGAUUGGGCGGAGAGAAUGGUUCAAAGCUCCACCGUUUUAUGGAUUUUCACUCGGUAUCGACCCAGACGCGAAUGUCGGUGCUGGCGACCGCCGCCGCCGCCGCAGCCAUGGGGGAGAUAAAAGAACUCGCAUGUUCAUGUAACAUUCUUGGAACCGUUUUCGCCGCUAUGAAUUGUGUAUAACUUUCUCUCCCUCUCUCAUAAGCAUACACACACACACACACACACACAAAAACAUAGCUUCUUCUUUUUCUCGUUAUUGUAAGCCUGUUUUGGACAGGAAGUUGUUACAAAAUAUUUUUUAUGAAUCAUUUUCGAAACACAUUCAUAGAAGAUGUGAGUAAACUUCAAGAAACUAUUAGA